CUUGGUCAUUUAGAGGAAGUAAAAGUCGUAACAAGGUUUCCGUAGGUGAACCUGCGGAAGGAUCAUUAGUGAAUUAAACAUGCUUGGUGUCUUCGCUUCGGCAAGGCCCUUGCUUAACUCACAUCCCAACACCUGUGAACUGUAAGGCGCAUGACUAGGUUCGCCCAAGUCAUCGUCUGCCCUUUUUAACAAACAAUUAAUGUAACAAACGUAGUCUUAUUAUAACCUAAUAAAACUUUCAACAACGGAUCUCUUGGCUCUCGCAUCGAUGAAGAACGCAACGAAAUGCGAUAAGUAAUGUGAAUUGCAGAAUUCAGUGAAUCAUCGAAUCUUUGAACGCACCUUGCGCUCUUUGGUAUUCCGAAGAGCAUGCCUGUUUGAGUGUCAUGAAAAUAUCAACCUUGACUUGGGUUUUGUGCUCUAGUCUCGGCUUGGAAAUUGGGUGCUUGCCGCUUUUACGAGCGGCUCACCUUAAAUGUAUUAGCUGGAUCUGUCUUUGAGACUUGGUUUGACUUGGCGUAAUAAGUAUUUCGCUAAGGACAUUCUUCGGAGUGGUCUCGUUUCUAGGACGCUUGUCCGCUUUCCAAUACAAGUUCCACCUCGUGGACAUGACUUUUUAUUAUCUGGCCUCAAAUCAGGUAGGACUACCCGCUGAACUUAAGCAUAUCAAUAAGCGGAGGAAAAGAAACUAACAAGGAUUCCCCUAGUAACGGCGAGUGAAGCGGGAAAAGCUCAAAUUUGAAAUCUGGCAGCCUCAGGUUGUCCGAGUUGUAAUCUAUAGAAACGUUUUCCGCGCUGGCCCAUGUACAAGUCCCUUGGAAUAGGGCGUCAUAGAGGGUGAGAAUCCCGUCCUUGACACGGACCACCAGUGCUUUGUGAUACGUUUUCAACGAGUCGAGUUGUUUGGGAAU
rnacentral:sRNA from 1 species